GUGUGUAGGCGGUUGUUUAAGUUUGGUGUGAAAUCUCCCGGCUCAACUGGGAGGGUGCGCCGAAUACUGAAUGACUAGAGUGUGGGAGAGGAAAGUGGAAUUCCUGGUGUAGCGGUGAAAUGCGUAGAUAUCAGGAGGAACACCGGUGGUGUAGACGGCUUUCUGGACCAUAACUGACGCUGAGACACGAAAGCGUGGGUAGCAAACAGGAUUAGAUACCCUGGUAGUCCACGCCCUAAACGAUGCAUAUUUGGUGUGGGCAGUUCAUUCUGUCCGUGCCGGAGCUAACGCGUUAAAUAUGCCGCCUGGGGAGUACAGUCGCAAGGCUGAAACUCAAAGGAAUUGACGGGGGCCCGCACAAGCGGUGGAGCAUGUGGUUCAAUUCUACGCAACGCGAAGAACCUUACCUGGGCUCGAACGGCUGGUCAACGGAGGUGGAAACACCUUUACCC
rnacentral:rRNA from 1 species